rnacentral:misc_RNA from 1 species
UUUCCGUAGGUGAACCUGCGGAAGGAUCAUUGUCGAAACCUGCCUAGCAGAACGACCCGCGAACUUGUAUAAACAACCGGGGGCGGGGGGCGUUCUCGCCCCGUGCCCCCGAACGGCGGGGAGACACUCGUGCCUUCUUGCCGAACAACGAACCCCGGCGCGGUCUGCGCCAAGGAACUUCAACUAAAGAGUGCCUCCGGUCGCCUCGGAAACGGCGUGCGUGCCGGGGGCGAAUCUUGUGCAAAACCAUAACGACUCUCGGCAACGGAUAUCUCGGCUCUC